GAAGCCUGUGAUGAUCCUAUUACCGCCCCAGUCUGAUAUUCCGUGACUGACUGGUACCAUACUGAGUCUUC